rnacentral:lncRNA from 1 species
GCAUGCAUGAAAAGAUAUAUAUACUUUUAUAUUUUUCAACUCAUUACAAUAUGAGCAAAGCAAACAGCCUAUUUUCUACUCGUACUUUUAUCGCUACGCAUAGCGUUAUUUCUCUAAAAUGUUAAACAAGUAUAUAUAAACAGAUCCAAACAGGACUACUCGCAAUGCGGUCCUGCAUGAGUUGGCGAUCUACUUGUGCAGAGUUGGCAACAACAGUAAUCGCCAAUCAAAGAUGCUUUAAGAAUAUUUAAGUCCACGCCAUUUAGUUAAUUACGCUUAGAAUUACGUACACCUACGAUAUUCGUUUUACACGCUCCAUGCAUGUAUUUUAAAUAAGUCAACCGAUAACAAGGUCUCCUUCAUACGAAGACACACCUCACGGGGGACCAUGUUUCAUUGGGACCAUCCACAAUUUUUAUUUUUCUUUUUUAGUUUCUCAUUUUGUUUUAGCUAUAUUCAAAUUUUGGUCUCAGUGAUCUGCAUGCAUGAACUCUAUUAUAUAUGAAAAAUAUUUUGAAUGCAUGAAUAUCUUAUUUUGAAUUUAGAAUAGAGUAAUAUAUUUCAUCUUCUAGUUAAUUUUUUUUUUAAAUAAAAUAAAUUAUUUUGCAAGUAAAAUAUAUUCUCAUAUAAAAUUAUAG